rnacentral:rRNA from 1 species
GUUGACCUCGGAUCAGGUAGGAAUACCCGCUGAACUUAAGCAUAUCAAUAAGCCGGAGGAAA